rnacentral:tRNA from 1 species
GCUCUUGUAGCUCAGUUGGUUAGAGCACCCGUUUAGUAAGCGGAAUUCUAAAAUUAAAACAAUACUACAAUUCUACAACAGCC